rnacentral:rRNA from 1 species
AGAUUGAACGCUGGCGGCAGGCCUAACACAUGCAAGUCGAGCGGCAGCACGGGUACUUGUACCUGGUGGCGAGCGGCGGACGGGUGAGUAAUGCCUAGGAAUCUGCCUGGUAGUGGGGGAUAACGCUCGGAAACGGACGCUAAUACCGCAUACGUCCUACGGGAGAAAGCAGGGGACCUUCGGGCCUUGCGCUAUCAGAUGAGCCUAGGUCGGAUUAGCUAGUUGGUGAGGUAAUGGCUCACCAAGGCGACGAUCCGUAACUGGUCUGAGAGGAUGAUCAGUCACACUGGAACUGAGACACGGUCCAGACUCCUACGGGAGGCAGCAGUGGGGAAUAUUGGACAAUGGGCGAAAGCCUGAUCCAGCCAUGCCGCGUGUGUGAAGAAGGUCUUCGGAUUGUAAAGCACUUUAAGUUGGAGAAGGCAGUUACCUAAUACGUAUCUGUUUGACGUUACCGACAGAAUAAGCACCGGCUAAACUCUAGUG